CUCCUGUGAAGAAAAUGGCCACUGGGAAAUUCAGAAAAGUGGCUUUACAAAGGAUGCAGAAAGGACUUGUUUCCAUUUGUCCUUCCGGCAGUUCAGCUGACAAGACAGGAUUUCUCCCUGGAUCUUGGUGCAUUACAUACACCUGUCAAGCAGAAGCUUCAAGGCAGCCUCAGGGGAGCAUCUCUCAAAGACACUCCUGCAAUAACAAUGAACUCACCAUCCAUUUGCUGCCUGUUUCUUUGAAACGAUGAGCAAGUUAAGAACACACUGACCAAACCACUUCAAUUUGCACUUCUCUAGGGAAGAGUAUGGUAAUGCCUGAGUUUGGACCUGCACGUCUUCCUGCACACCUACCAGUGAGGACAGCCUGAGUAAUUAAGCACUUUGGAUGUUGAAAGCAAUUUGGACAUCUCCUAAACCCAGAGCUGAAUUUUGCUGUUUUCUGCAAGGAAUAAGGGCGUCAGAAAUCCAGAGCAAGCUGAGGACAUGCAUGGUGGGUGAAGGCAGGAUUUCACUCCCGGGUGCUGGGAGGACCUUUCCCCUGGAGCUGACUGUGAGAAGGGAUGUCACCAUGAUCGGUUCUGGUAAUGUUCACUCUGCCUUCAGAGCAAUUCUUUCCUCCAAUACAAAGGAUGACUAAUUACAUCAGGAACAGCUGCGGUGCCCCUGGAAGGACAGAAGACCAGCUGAUUGCUGCCACGCCUCCCCAGCCAACUGGCGACACCUGAGCACUGCAAGUUAUGAAAUCUUGUACGUGGAAGCAUUUGGUCACGACGAAUCUCUGAAGAACAGAUGUUCUGAUGCUGUCCCAUCAGGUGCAUUCACUGCUUUGCUGUGUGUUGUCCUUCUACUGUGUGACAGCUUAAGAUGGAGCCUGUGCAGUGCCCUCAGUCUGUAGCAGAGAUGUCAUUUAAUGGAUGAUCAGAACAUUAAUGAAUCUGCUCUGUGGAAAGAAUGGUCAGUACCCGGGGAAAAGCACCGCAGGAGAACCAGAAUGUGGGAUUGAAAAGUGACAGUGUGUUUUGUAGUGGAUAUUUGUGGUUAUAAUA
ensembl:lncRNA